rnacentral:rRNA from 1 species
CCUACGGGAGGCAGCAGUAGGGAAUAUUGGGCAAUGGGCGCAAGCCUGACCCAGCAACGCCGCGUGAAGGAAGAAGGCUUUCGGGUUGUAAACUUCUUUUGUCAGGGACGAAGCAAGUGACGGUACCUGACGAAUAAGCCACGGCUAUCUACGUGCCAGCAGCCGCGGUAAUACGUAGGAGGCAAGCGUUAUCCGGAUUUAUGGGGUGUAAAGGGCGUGUAGGCGGGAAUGCAAGUCAGAUGUGAAAACUAUGGGCUCAACCCAUAGCCUGCAUUUGAAACUGUAUUUCUUGAGUGCUGGAGAGGCAAUCGGAAUUCCGUGUGUAGCGGUGAAAUGCGUAGAUAUACGGAGGAACACCAGUGGCGAAGGCGGAUUGCUGGACAGUAACUGACGCUGAGGCGCGAAAGCGUGGGGAGCAAACAGGAUUAGAUACCCUUGUAGUC